CAAGACUCAGCUGGGGGUUUCCCCUGGCACCCCAGCCCCGGGGGCCCCUCUUCUGCAGACGCCUCUGCUCUGCUAACCUGAAGGGUCUGCGGCUUUCCUGGGAGGCUCUGGUGGCCCCAGCACGACAGGCUGAGGCCCGGGCAGCAUGACAGCGGGGCCCAGGGGCAGCCCAGUCCACUCCUUGCCCGAUCCAGCGACAAGCCGCUGCCCUGCAGGCACAGAUGCUGAUUUCGGCCGUGGCCAGGCAGACUUUGAGGGGUCUGCAGCGCGUCUUGGUGGAGACGACUGGAAAGGUCCAGGAGACCAGCGAAGUGGGCCUGAGACAGGUGCUGGUACGGAUGGCAGACUGCCUGCAGAGACCGCUCCAGCCAAAGAGAAAGCUGAGGCUUCGACCCUUGGGCCCCACUGGCGUUUUGCUUCCACAUCUCAGACUCCUCCCUUCCGUCAGCUGCCAGCGUAGUCUCAGUUAAGAGUGAAGAGCAGACAGUGCACUCCUCUGCCCAGCGUCAUGAUAGCUCCCCAACAGUGGGCCUUCGGGCCCCCAAGACCUCCUUCAGAGCUUGCUGAAAGCUGAGGAACUCCCUUCCUAGAGUCACAUAUGCACAGUAUUUUUCUUUCAUUCUGGGGGACUCUGGGCCUCUUUCAAGCUCGUUCAGGGAGUUGCUUGUGGAGGCCUGGCCUACGAGGCCCCUAGGUGACCUGGCCUCUGCCUCCCUCGCCAGCUCAUCCUGACCUCCCCCACUGGUGUAUGCCCGGCCACAUCAAUCUGCAUGUAGUUCCCUUGCACAUCUGCUGUAUUUCACUGUGACUUUGCUUAUGUUGUCCUCACCAGCAAGAGAGGCUUCCUCCUGGUGUCUGGUUAACGCCUCCUUGUUCCUCAAAGCCCAGCUCAGAAGUCACACCUUCGAUGCUGUCCAGACAGGCUCAAUCACUCCGCAGCCUGAAUCAGUUCUGCUCCCUCUGCACACCUCUCUCCCCGAGGGCCUCCUGAUACACGGGGGACUCUGUGUCUGUCUUCCUUACUAUGCUAUGAGCUUCCUAAGGCCAGACACCACAUCUGUAGCCUUUGUAUUCCCAGGAUUUAGCGUUUAGUAGGUCUGGAGAACCAAAAGGGUGGGACUGAAUUGGCAGAGGAAACGGAGCGGACAGAAGAGGUGAAGAACAAGUCAGGAGCCUUGAGCAGAGAGGGCAUCAAGAAGGAAGGAGGCAUCAAGAGGAGCCUGGCAGUCAAGCUGGUGAAGGACUGAAAAUUAUCAUUGAAUUUGGCAACUAGGAAGCAAACAGUCCCACUUCUCCCAGGGCUCAUCCAGCUCUAGACUGAAAAGUCCUGGGCAGAUGGAGGUGGUCAGUCACUCAACACUGGUGACCUUGAUGAGGGCAGUUCUGCGGGUGGGGGUUGGCAGAAGCCUCAUGUGAGGGGCCAAGGAGUGAUGGAGGCAGGGAAGAGAGAUUGGGGUGCUGUGACUGCUGAGUUGUUAGGCUGUGCUGAGAGGAGAGAGCAGGCAAGAACCUGGGGGACUCCCCGGCCCCACCGCUCCGGAGAGACAGCAGACAAAGCUGUCAGGAGCACUGUGGGCAUCUGGGUGACUUCUUCCCAAAGGGCUCCAGCCCUGCCACCUUGGUCACCACGGCGGAUUCUGCUUGGACAGCUUGGGGGUCCUCUCUUCUUCUGAGUUGUGAAAGUCUUCCUUGAAUCUGUGUAUCUUGUCCAACUAAUUAGAUCCUGAACUUCUCGAAGGCAGGGACCAUGUCCUCCCCGCUGCCUCCCCUUUCCUUCCUUCAGUAAACACUAAUUAAGUGCUGUC